rnacentral:rRNA from 1 species
UGAACGCUGGCGGCGUGCUUAACACAUGCAAGUCGAACGAGAAAGGGAUUGCUUGCAAUCCUGAGUAGAGUGGCGCACGGGUGAGUAACACGUAGAUAAUCUACCUUCAAGCCCGGGAUAACUAUUCGAAAGGAUGGCUAAUACCGGAUGAAGUUCAUUGACACAAGUUGAUGAAUGAAAGAUUGCCUCUUCCUGAAAGCAAUUGUUUGGAGAUGAGUUUGCGGACCAUUAGUUAGUUGGUGGGGUAAAGGCCUACCAAGACUGCGAUGGUUAGCUGGUCUGAGAGGAUGAUCAGUCACACUGGAACUGGAACACGGUCCAGACUCCUACGGGAGGCAGCAGUGAGGAAUUUUGCGCAAUGGGGGCAACCCUGACGCAGCAACGCCGCGUGAGUGAAGAAGGCCUUUGGGUCGUAAAGCUCUGUCAACUGGGAAGAAGUUAUUUAUAUUUAAUAGAUAUAGGUAUUGACGGUACCAGUGGAGGAAGCGCCGGCUAACUCC